UUAUGCUGACAGCAGUCGUCCUGAUACUGUUCAUGUACUGAAGUAUGCUAUACCAUUGAAAGGAUUACGUAAACCAAGAACAAUCAAUAUAAACAGAUCACUGAAAGAUUUAUUAGAUGCACCUCAUUCAGUUGGUACUAAAGAUGUUAGGCCUAAUCCUGGUUCACAAAAUGACCUCAAGAAGCACCUUAAUGAUCUGAAGAGUUUCCUUUUAACUUCAUGCAGAAGCAAAGUUUUGUGAUAUAGCUAAUAGUUGUAGGAGGUAUGAAUUAUUAAUACUUCUCAGUAUAAUGAGUUAUUUGAUGGGAUGAAUAACCAGUCUUUAUCAAAAAGAGUAGAACUUUUCAUGGGAAAUAUUACAUUAUUAAUUGAGAUUUGCCCUGACCAUAUUAGUACAUUCUUGUCUAUACUGAGGGAACAGGGUUAUGUUGUUCUUUCUACAUUAGCUGACAGGAUUGCUGAUUCAUAUGAAGAAGAUAAUGAUUACAGGAGCAAUGACAUUAUUAUUUUUUCUGUGCACUUUUUACUUCAUGUGCUGUGUGUGUACUUUUGUUUAACUUUACAAUACAGUUUAAGAUGCCUCAACAGUA